rnacentral:rRNA from 1 species
AUGAAGACCGCAGCUAAAUGCGCGUCAGAAUGUGAACUGCAGGACACAUGAACACCGACACGUUGAACGCAUAUUGCACAUCGUACUAUAGUACGGUGUACACAUUUUUGAGUGCCUAUA